UGGGGCCACGUGAGCGAAAUCCCAGGGAGC
rnacentral:piRNA from 1 species